UGGGGAAUCUUCCGCAAUGGACGAAAGUCUGACGGAGCAACGCCGCGUGUAUGAAGAAGGCCUUCGGGUUGUAAAGUACUGUUGUUGGGGAAGAACGGCAGGAGUGAGAAUAUUGCUUCUGAUUGACGGUACCCAACGAGGAAGCCCCGGCUAACUACGUGCCAGCAGCCGCGGUAAUACGUAGGGGGCAAGCGUUGUCCGGAAUCAUUGGGCGUAAAGGGCGCGUAGGCGGGCUUAUAAGUCUGAUGUGAAAGUGCGGUGCUUAACACCGUAAAGCAUUGGAAACUGUAGGUCUUGAGGACAGGAGAGGAAAGUGGAAUUCCUAGUGUAGCGGUGAAAUGCGUAGAUAUUAGGAGGAACACCAGUGGCGAAGGCGACUUUCUGGACUGUAACUGACGCUGAGGCGCGAAAGCGUGGGGAGCGAACAGG
rnacentral:rRNA from 2 species